AUUAUUCACCUUCGCAAGACGCAACAGUCUUCAAACUCCAUUAUACUAUUUAACAGAUUAAAAAACGAGAGAUGCGCCAAGCUUAUAACCUAACAAUAGUACCU